rnacentral:rRNA from 1 species
AGCGAACGCUGGCGGCAGGCUUAACACAUGCAAGUCGAGCGGGUGUAGCAAUACAUCAGCGGCAGACGGGUGAGUAACGCGUGGGAACGUACCUUUUGGUUCGGAACAACCCAGGGAAACUUGGGCUAAUACCGGAUAAGCCCUUACGGGGAAAGAUUUAUCGCCGAAAGAUCGGCCCGCGUCUGAUUAGCUAGUUGGUGAGGUAAUGGCUCACCAAGGCGACGAUCAGUAGCUGGUCUGAGAGGAUGAUCAGCCACAUUGGGACUGAGACACGGCCCAAACUCCUACGGGAGGCAGCAGUGGGGAAUAUUGGACAAUGGGGGCAACCCUGAUCCAGCCAUGCCGCGUGAGUGAUGAAGGCCCUAGGGUUGUAAAGCUCUUUUGUGCGGGAGGAUAAUGACGGUACCGCAAGAAUAAGCCCCGGCUAACUUCGUGCCAGCCGCCGCCGUAAGAC